UUAUUUGAGAGUUUGAUCCUGGCUCAGGAUGAACGCUGGCGGCGUGCCUAACACAUGCAAGUUGAGCGAUUUACUUCGGUAAAGAGCGGCGGACGGGUGAGUAACGCGUGGGUAACCUACCCUGUACACACGGAUAACAUACCGAAAGGUAUGCUAAUACGGGAUAAUAUAUUUGAGAGGCAUCUCUUGAAUAUCAAAGGUGAGCCGGUACAGGAUGGACCCGCGUCUGAUUAGCUAGUUGGUAAGGUAACGGCUUACCAAGGCGACGAUCAGUAGCCGACCUGAGAGGGUGAACGGCCACAUUGGAACUGAGACACGGUCCAAACUCCUACGGGAGGCAGCAGUGGGGAAUAUUGCACAAUGGGCGAAAGCCUGAUGCAGCAACGCCGCGUGAGUGAUGAAGGC
rnacentral:rRNA from 1 species